rnacentral:rRNA from 1 species
CCUACGGGAGGCAGCAGUGGGGGAUAUUGGACAAUGGGGGGAACCCUGAUCCAGCGACGCCGCGUGAGUGAAGAAGUAUUUCGGUAUGUAACGCUCUGUUAGCAGGGAAGAAAGCAAUGACGGUACCUGACCAAGAAGACCCGGCUAACUACGUGCAAGCAGCCUCGGGAAUACGUCGGUGGCAAGCGUUAUCCGGAAUUACUGGGUGUAAAGGGAGCGUAGGCGGGUGGGCAAGUCUGGAGUGAAAGGCGGGGGCCCAACCCCCGGACUGCUCUGGAAACUGUAUGGCUGGAGUGCAGGAGAGGUAAGCGGAAUUCGUGGUGUAGCGGUGAAAUGCGUAGAUAUUAGGAAGAACACCAGUGGCGAAGGCGGCUUACUGGACUGUAACUGACGUUGAGGCUCGAAAGCGUGGGGAGCAAACAGGAUUAGAUACCCUGGUAGUC